UUAUUUUGAACUCAAAAUUUCAGAAGCAGAGUGAAACCCGAGAGUGUUGGUGAGGAAGGAAGUUUAAAAACAGAGUGUGAGUGUAUGUUGGUGCCAAGAAGGAAUUCUGGUCCAAUUGUGGGAAGAAUUUCCUUAUGCUCUAAGCUAGAUUUUAGAACCAAAAAUUUGCAGCAACUUCCCUGAUUUGUUGUCGUUUUAUCUGCUGUCAGGGUUGUAGCUUGUUUCUGCUGCGUAUUCCAUGUAAGAUGGGUGACAAUCUUGGUCAAUACAGGGUUCAAAGACAUGAAUGAUGGCGACUGGAGUGAAAUUUGUGGGAUGGCAUUCGGAGAGUAUUAAGUGAAUUAUAUGUAUUUAUUUAUGUUUUUAAUUUAUUUAUUGAUUACACUUCUAUCCUUAUCUAGUUGGUAACUUGUUCUCUUUUUGGAAAUAGUAUUCGUGGUUGCGUGCAUAGGAUUAUAAACAGUAAAACUAAAAUUAGGAUUACAAUUUAGUAUUAAAAACUGAGUCAGAAGAUGUAUUUAGUCUUGGGUGUAUGUGUGUGAGUUAUGUAAAUGCAUUAAAUACAUAUUAAGUCAAUUAAAUGGUUAUCGUACAACAUGAAAAUGAUUGUUUAUUGUUAAUUAAUUUAUUACUAUUUUACUUAAUCUCUACAUUAAAGAACUAUUUUCAAAGAAUGUUUGUAUGUCUUUAAUAUUGCCUAUUUUACUGAGUAUUGGAACUAACUUAAAUCCAACAUCCCCUCUCCCCCAAGAAUAUUUGUAUGUCCUUAAUAUUUUCUAUUUUACUGAGUAUUGGAAUUAACUUAAAUCCAACAUCCCCCCCGUUAUGAGUUUUUGAGGACCCCUGCUUAGAUUCCUUCCAGGACGAUUAGUUAUGGGAGUAGACUUGUUUAAACACUUUAAAGGCUAUUAUAUUUGUAUAGGUUAUUUCUUUUGAAUUGUAUAUAUGUGUAGAUAACCUAGUGCCUUAGUAUACAGUUUUUAUAUUUUGUGUUGGGAUGUAAAAUUCUGCUGCUAUGUUUAUUGUAUCUUUUAUAUCUGCUCUAUCGUAUAUUGGUGCCCUCUUUAGCAUUGGAACGUCACACUUUGUAUGCAUUUAAAAAUAGUAUGAAUAUGCUUUAGGGUAUUGUCAUAUUGCAUUUCUACUUCUGACAUUUGAUUAUUGAAAAUAUUUAUCCAUUGACUACAAGAAAAAAAGUAAUUAGUUUACACAUAUUAGUUAAUUGAAUAAUAUCUAUUUAAUUUUAAAAUAAAAUUCACUUAAUGAAUGCAUACAUAUAUAUACAAGUGAGUACA